rnacentral:rRNA from 1 species
UGGGUUAGUGGCGGACGGGUGAGUAACGCGUGGAUAACCUGCCGUAUACAGGGGGAUAACACUUAGAAAUAGGUGCUAAUACCGCAUAAGCGCACGGUUCCGCAUGGAACAGUGUGAAAAACUCCGGUGGUAUACGAUGGAUCCGCGUCUGAUUAGCCAGUUGGCGGGGUAACGGCCCACCAAAGCGACGAUCAGUAGCCGGCCUGAGAGGGUGGACGGCCACAUUGGGACUGAGACACGGCCCAAACUCCUACGGAAGGCAGCAG